CGUAGGUAACCUGCCUUGUAGCGGGGGAUAACUAUUGGAAACGAUAGCUAAUACCGCAUAACAAUGGAUGACACAUGUCAUUUAUUUGAAAGGGGCAAUUGCCCCACUACAAGAUGGACCUGCGUUGUAUUAGCUAGUAGGUGAGGUAACGGCUCACCUAGGCGACGAUACAUAGCCGACCUGAGAGGGUGAUCGGCCACACUGGGACUGAGACACGGCCCAG
rnacentral:rRNA from 1 species